AAGCUACUUUGCUUUGGGAGUGCCGUCUGGCCAGACUAAGGUCCGUUUUACCUUCCAACUUGUCCGGUGUGUUCCUUCCCGGGUCUUCUUCGCUGCAGUCAGCUCCUCGGAGCGUUUGCCUGCAGUCUUUUGGAGCUGAAAUUACUUAUCUACACAGAAGUCUUCUCCACCCAGACAUGGAGUCUAUGGAGUGCUCUGCCAUCUCUCAGAAACUUGGAGGUCUGAGAGAGAGAGGAUGUUUACUCUUCACUUAAUAAACACAGGACUCGUGUCUACACUAUCGGCCAGCCUCUUCAUUCGGGGCAGUGUGAUUCUUCCACAAUAAUCCCAGUGAAUUCCAAAUGAGAGUCCUGACAGUGCAGAAACACAGCUUAGAUUCUGCCCGUGAAGACAGAAUACCUAACAUCCACAAGUGAAAGAAGAAAUCAUGCAGUCUGUGGAGGUUUCAGUCCAUAGUUGGCUGACUCCAAGGCAGGGCAGCAUGGAACACGGCAGAGGAGAAACAGUUCACAACAUGGUAGGCAGGAACCAGAGUGGGAUCAAGGGAGGAGGAGGGUUAUGUGUUUCCAGGCCAUGCUCACAUUGAACCACCUCUUCCUUCCAGGCAUCAUUUCCCAACAUCACACACAGCUUGAAACCCAUCAGUGGACUGAUCCAGUGAUGAGUAGGACACACUUAUGAUCUAGUCACCUCCCUGAAGCCCCAACUGAGGCAUGAGGCUUUAGGGGACAUUUCAGAUAUAAACUAUAACAGGUAUUAUCAGACCCUUCAACUGUAUCUGACUACUGAAAUAAAACUGUGAUGAAAUAAGCAGAGAGGUGUAGCUUACCUGUAGAAUGUGUGCUUAGGAUGCAUUAGGCCCUGAGUUCAGUCAUCACCACAUGCACACAAAAAUAGCUUACAGAGAUUCCUCAUCUAAUGACCAAGUUCCAUACCUGUGACUAGGUUGUUAAAUGAAUUGGUCACUAAAUGAAGAAUUGUACACGUACAUUACAAGACUCAGGACAAAGAAAUGGUCAAAAGAAAUUCCAACUUGAUGACUUUGCUUUUACUUGCAUAACUCUUACAGUACUAUACUGGAUAACAGAACAUAAAACUACAGUAAUGUACUGUAGAGUACAUUCAGCAAAAAUUACACUACUGUAUAAACAAGGUGUACUGAACAAAAAAGACAAUGAAGCUUUAUAAACAAGAUGUACAGACCUGUACAAAAAAAAUAAAAGAUGAGUCAUAAAAACAAGCAGCGGAGGGCUGGGGAUUUAGCUCAGUGGCGCUGCACCUGCCUUGAAAGCGUAAGGUCCUGAGUUCGAUCCCUGGUAUGUGUGUGUGUGGGAGCAGCGGGUUGUAAGUCCCAACAGUCAUUAACACAGGUAGAUCAUUAAAAGAGGAAUAUUUGUACUGAUUUCUUAAAAAUGUAUAUGCAGA
ensembl:lncRNA